rnacentral:rRNA from 1 species
UGGGGAAUAUUGGACAAUGGGCGCAAGCCUGAUCCAGCAAUGCCGCGUGUGUGAAGAAGGCCUUCGGGUUGUAAAGCACUUUUAUCAGGAGCGAAACGCUGUCGGCUAAUACCCGGCGGAACUGACGGUACCUGAGGAAUAAGCACCGGCUAACUUCGUGCCAGCAGCCGCGGUAAUACGAAGGGUGCAAGCGUUAAUCGGAAUUACUGGGCGUAAAGCGUGCGUAGGCGGUUUCUUAAGUCUGCUGUGAAAUCCCCGGGCUCAACCUGGGAAUGGCAGUGGAUACUGGGAGGCUAGAGUGUGUCAGAGGGUGGUGGAAUUCCCGGUGUAGCGGUGAAAUGCGUAGAGAUCGGGAGGAACAUCAGUGGCGAAGGCGGCCACCUGGGACAACACUGACGCUGAGGCACGAAAGCGUGGGGAGCAAAACAGGAUUAGAUACCCUGGUAGUCCACGCCCUAAAACGAUGCGAACUGGAUGUUGGUCUCAACUCGGAGAUCAGUGUCGAAGCUAACGCGUUAAGUUCGCCGCCUGGGGAGUACGGUCGCAAGACUGAAACUUAAA